ACCGACACUGGUGCGCGAGAUGAGUAUUCUAAGGCGCUUGAGAGAACUCUGGAGAAGGAACUCGGCAAAUUGACACCGUAACUUCGGAAGAAGGUGUGCCUUUAGUAGGUGAACCAUUUACUUGGGGAGCCCAAUGAGGCCGCAGAGAAUCGGUGGCUGCGACUGUUUACUAAAAACACAGCACUCUGCAAAGACGAAAGUCGACGUAUAGGGUGUGACGCCUGCCCGGUGCUGGAAGAUUAAAUGAUGGGGUGCAAGCUCUUGAUUGAAGUCCCAGUAAACGGCGGCCGUAACAAUAACGGUCCUAAGGUAGCGAAAUUCCUUGUCGGGUAAGUUCCGACCUGCACGAAUGGCGUAACGAUGGCCACACUGUCCCCUCCAGAGACUCAGCGAAGUUGAAAUGUUUGUGAUGAUGCAAUCUCCCCGCGGAAAGACGGAAAGACCCCAUGAACCUUUACUGUAGCUUUACAUUGGACUUUGAACAGAUCUGUGUAGGAUAGGUGGGAGGCUUUGAAGCGGUGCCGCUAGGUAUCGUGGAGCCAACGUUGAAAUACCACCCUGGUGUGUUUGAGGUUCUAACCUUGGCCCGUUAUCCGGGUUGGGGACAGUGUAUGGUGGGCAGUUUGACUGGGGCGGUCUCCUCCCAAAGCGUAACGGAGGAGUUCGAAGGUACGCUAGGCACGGUCGGAAAUCGUGCUGAUAGUGCAUAGGCAUAAGCGUGCUUGACUGCGAGACGGACAUGUUGAGCAGGUACGAAAGUAGGACUAAGUGAUCCGGUGGUUCUGUAUGGAAGGGCCAUCGCUCAACGGAUAAAAGGUACUCUGGGGAUAACAGGCUGAUACCGCCCAAGAGUUCAUAUCGACGGCGGUGUUUGGCACCUCGAUGUCGGCUCAUCUCAUCCUGGGGCUGUAGCCGGUCCCAAGGGUAUGGCUGUUCGCCAUUUAAAGAGGUACGUGAGCUGGGUUUAAAACGUCGUGAGACAGUUUGGUCCCUAUCUUCCGUGGGCGCUGCAAGAUUGAGAGAGCCUGCUCCUAGUACGAGAGGACCGGAGUGGACGCACCUCUGGUGCAUCGGUUGUCACGCCAGUGGCAUAGCCGAGUAGCUAAGUGCGGAAGAGAUAACCGCUGAAAGCAUCUAAGCGGGAAACUCGUCUCAAGAUGAGUCUUGCCGGGGCCUUGAGCCCCCUGAAGAGUCGUUCGAGACCAGGACGUUGAUAGGUCGGGUGUGGAAGCGGGGUAACCCGUUAAGCUAACCGAUACUAAUUGCUCGUGCGGCUUGACCCU
rnacentral:rRNA from 1 species